rnacentral:snRNA from 1 species
UGCUGCCACGAUCCACUGAGAUU